UACAGAGGUCUCAAGCGUUGUUCGGAUUCAUUGGGCGUAAAGGGUGCGUAGGCGGCGCGGUAAGUCGGGUGUGAAAUCUUGGAGCUUAACUCCGAAACUGCAUUCGGUACUGCCGUGCUUGAGGACUGGAAAGGAGACUGGAAUUUACGGUGUAGCGGUGAAAUGCGUAGAUAUCGUAAGGAAGACCAGUGGCGAAGGCGGGUCUCUGGACAGUUCCUGACGCUGAGGCACGAAGGUCAGGGGAGCAAACGGG
rnacentral:rRNA from 1 species